AAGCGUGCGCAGGCGGUUUUGUAAGUCAGAUGUGAAAUCCCCGAGCUCAACUUGGGAACUGCGUUUGAAACUACAAGACUAGAAUAUGUCAGAGGGGGGUAGAAUUCCACGUGUAGCGGUGAAAUGCGUAGAGAUGUGGAGGAAUACCAAUGGCGAAGGCAGCCCCCUGGGAUAAUAUUGACGCUCAUGCACGAAAGCGUGGGGAGCAAACAGGAUUAGAUACCCUGGUAGUCCACGCCCUAAACGAUGUCUACUAGUUGUUGGUGGAGUAAAAUCCAUGAGUAACGCAGCUAACGCGUGAAGUAGACCGCCUGGGGAGUACGGUCGCAAGAUUAAAACUCAAAUGAAUUGACGGGGGCCCGCACAAGCGGUGGAUUAUGUGGAUUAAUUCGAUGCAACGCGAAAAACCUUACCUGGCCUUGACAUGUAACGAACUUUCCAGAGAUGGAUUGGUGCUCGAAAGAGAGCGUUAACACAGGUGCUGCAUGGCUGUCGUCAGCUCGUGUCGUGAGAUGUUGGGUUAAGUCCCGCAACGAGCGCAACCCUUGCCAUUAAUCGCCAUCAUUUAGUUGGGCACUUUAAUGGGACUGCCGGUGACAAACCGGAGGAAGGUGGGGAUGACGUCAAGUCCUCAUGGCCCUUAUGGCCAGGGCUUCACACGUAAUACAAUGGUCGGUACAGAGGGUUGCCAAGCCGCGAGGUGGAGCCAAUCCCAGAAAGCCGAUCGUAGUCCGGAUUGUAGUCUGCAACUCGACUACAUGAAGUCGGAAUCGCUAGUAAUCGCGGAUCAGCAUGUCGCGGUGAAUACGUUCCCGGGCCUUGUACACACCGCCCGUCACACCAUGGGAGUGGGUUUUACCAGAAGUAGGUAGUCUAACCUUCGGGAGGACGCUUACCACGGUAGUAUUCAUGACUGGGGUGAAGUCGUAACAAGGUAA
rnacentral:rRNA from 1 species